rnacentral:rRNA from 1 species
UCCUGACCGUGCGAAGGUAGCGUAAUCACUUGUCUUUUAAAUGAAGACCUGUAUGAAUGGCAUAACGAGGGUUUAACUGUCUCCUUCCCCCAGUCAAUGAAAUUGAUCUGCCCGUGCAGAAGCGGGCAUAAAAACAUAAGACGAGAAGACCCUAUGGAGCUUUAGGCCAAGGACCAAUCAUGUUAAGAGACUACAAAACCAAAAAGAACAAAAAAGUCAACAAACCAAAUGCAACCUCGUCCAAGUGCCUUCGGUUGGGGCGACCACGGGGAAAAAAGAAACCCCCACAUGGAAUGGAAAUUAUUUCCUUAAACCAAGAAAAACAAUUCUAAGCAACAGAACAUCUGACCAAUAUAUGACCCAGGAAAACACAUCCUGAUCAAUGAACCAAGUUACCCUAGGGAUAACAGCGCAAUCCUUUCCCAGAGCCCAUAUCGACGAAAGGGUUUACGACCUCGAUGUUGGAUCAGGACAUCCUAAUGGUGCAGCCGCUA